UCGAACGGCAGCGCGGGAGCAAUCCUGGCGGCGAGUGGCGAACGGGUGAGUAAUACAUCGGAACGUGCCCAAUCGUGGGGGAUAACGCAGCGAAAGCUGUGCUAAUACCGCAUACGAUCUACGGAUGAAAGCAGGGGGUCGCAAGACCUUGCACGAAUGGAGCGGCCGAUGGCAGAUUAGGUAGUUGGUGAGGUAAAGGCUCACCAAGCCUUCGAUCUGUAGCUGGUCUGAGAGGACGACCAGCCACACUGGGACUGAGACACGGCCCAGACUCCUACGGGAGGCAGCAGUGGGGAAUUCUGGACAAUGGGCGAAAGCCUGAUCCAGCCAUGCCGCGUGCAGGAUGAAGGCCUUCGGGUUGUAAACUGCUUUUGUACGGAACGAAACGGCCUUUUCUAAUAAAGAGGGCUAAUGACGGUACCGUAAGAAUAAGCACCGGCUAACUACGUGCCAGCAGCCGCGGUAAUACGUAGGGUGCAAGCGUUAAUCGGAAUUACUGGGCGUAAAGCGUGCGCAGGCGGUUAUGUAAGACAGUUGUGAAAUCCCCGGGCUCAACCUGGGAACUGCAUCUGUGACUGCAUAGCUAGAGUACGGUAGAGGGGGAUGGAAUUCCGCGUGUAGCAGUGAAAUGCGUAGAUAUGCGGAGGAACACCGAUGGCGAAGGCA
rnacentral:rRNA from 1 species